AUACGUAGGGGGCAAGCGUUGUCCGGAAUUACUGGGCGUAAAGGGCGUGUAGGCGGCCGAGCAAGUCAAGUGUGAAAAGCCCCGGCUUAACCGAGGCAUUGCACAUGAAACUGCUUGGCUUGAGUGCAGGAGAGGGAAGUGGAAUUCCUAGUGUAGCAGUGAAAUGCGUAGAUAUUAGGAGGAACACCAGUGGCGAAGGCGACUUCCUGGACUGUAACUGACGCUGAGGCGCGAAAGCGUGGGUAGCGAACAGGAUUAGAUACCCUGGUAGUCCACGCCGUAAACGAUGGAUACUAGGUGUAGGAGGUAUCGACCCCUUCUGUGCCGGAGUUAACACAAUAAGUAUCCCACCUGGGGAGUACGGCCGCAAGGUUGAA
rnacentral:rRNA from 1 species